rnacentral:rRNA from 1 species
AGCGAACGCUGGCGGCAGGCUUAACACAUGCCAGUCGAGCGCCCCGCAAGGGGAGCGGCCGACGGGAGAGUAACACGUGGGAACAUACCUUUUGGUUCGGAACAACUGAGGGAAACUUCAGCUAAUACCGGAUAAGCCCUUACGGGGAAAGAUUUAUCGCCGAAAGAUUGGCCCGCGUCUGAUUAGCUAGUUGGUGAGGUAACGGCUCACCAAGGCGACGAUCAGUAGCUGGUCUGAGAGGAUGAUCAGCCUCACUGGGACUGAGACACGGCCCAGACUCCUACGGGAGGCAGCAGUGGGGAAUAUUGGACAAUGGGGGCAACCCUGAUCCAGCCAUGCCGCGUGAGUGAUGAAGGCCUUAGGGUUGUAAAGCUCUUUUGCCCGGGAAGAUAAUGACGGUACCGGGAGAAUAAGCCCCGGCUAACUUCGUG